UGAGCAAGACUCAAAAAAAAAAAAAAAAAAAAAACUUCUCAAGAGUAAAUGCUAAUAAAUUUUGUAUUUCAACUGGAGACAGUUUACCAGCCACACACUUGAAUUAGGAUGGGGUUACCAUAAUCUAUGCUGCCACAAGUGAGAAGUGGAUGUCUGCUGGGGGCUGUCAGAAAAAUAGAUGGGGAAAGAGCUCAGCUGCAGGUACCAGCAAGCCUUGAGAUAUUGUGGAUUGUGGGCAGGCUUUCCAGGCCUAGGAAUUUAGACCAGGUUUUGAAGCUUGGCAUCACCACAGCCUGAAGGGCAAAGGAGAAGGACUUAGGCCCCAAAUCCAAAAGAAUGGAGUAGGAAGAGGAGGCCAGGUGGAGGUGGAGGGGUGGACAGGGGCUCUGCAUGUCUCUGGAACCAGGUUCAAGGCACCCAGAGUUUUGUGAUGGAGUGCCAGGUGCAGGAGGGACGUGGUAGAUCCAGAGGUACUGCAUCCUGAGAGCCUCCUGCCUCCUGGGGCAGAGACACAAGGUGGGGAGGCUGAUGGUCCUGAUGUGGCCCCAGGCCUUCUGUGGCAGAGGAUUCUGCUCUGCUUCCUGCCUGGCGCUGCAUCUGAGGCCAGGAUGUAGGCAGGCUCAACGCAGGGGGAGGACAUGUGUGUAUGCAUAUGCGUGUAUGCCUGAGUGUGCACAUUUGUUCACAUGCAUGCACACAUCUGCCUGCAUAUUUGUGUAUGUGUGUGUGCAGUGUGUGUGUGUGCACAUGUGGGUGUUGCUUCCAAUAAUAUCCCCCUGUCUGGCCUUCCUACUGCACACAGCCACAUCUGGAGGCAGGCAGCUGAGCCAGGUGAACUGUCGAUAAGCAUCUGGCUUUCUAACGGUGUGAUUUGGUGACUCUGCAGAGAGCACUUUGUGGCAAAGUAUGACACGGGAUCUUUUUCAGCCGUGGACUUGCCCGCAGUCUUCUGCAGCCAUGUCUUCUGGGCCAGACUUGUAGGGAAUUGCCCCUCCCUAUUCCUGCCCAGCCUGGUUCCAUCUGGCUGCUGUCAGGCUCCAGGCUGCUGGGUGGAGGAGAGCUGCAGUGGCAGAGUUUGCUCAUCUGGAUGCUUAAUAAGCAGGGACCUUCCCUAUGCCAAAGCAAAGCCUGCAAGAGAGGAUUCUCACAGGUUGUGGGCAAGAGCAAUAUCGGCUUUGCCAUCCCCAAUCUCAUCGUGACCUGCUGAGUAGUGGAAGGGGAGCCCCUGGCAGAAGCUGUGACUUCCUCUUCACUGGAAAGAUGUGGACUUUUCCUCCUAGUUAUGAAACAGCCACGGGGCAUGUCACACAUCGAGGGAGGUCUAAGAAAAGGAAACUGCCACCCAUGUUUGACUGUGAUGACACUGGUAGAAAUGGAAUCCCGGGAGCAAGGAUAGAGACUGCCUUCUCCCUCCCCUUGCCUUUGUUUCCAUGUGCUUGUUCCCAUUGGGAGUGGGAGGAUGAGUUUAGAGAGUUUUGAGAUGAUGCCUUCAUUUAAGUGAAGCAGAGCUUGGCCAAAUCUAAAGUCAAGCUCCAUAGAUGGAGCCUUGCUAGAGAGCUGCCUCUGAGAAGCUAGGAUUGCUUAUAAGAACCAGGGAGGAGGAAAGAAAGUGGGAAGGAGGUAGGCAGGGAUGCAGGCUGCCCAUGGAGCAAGGUGGAGAACCUGUCACAGGGCACUCGGCCUUUUACAAGGGUUUUUUGGGGAAGGAACUAUAUCAGAGGCUGUUACUUGCUUCCUCAAUAUCCAUUUUCCCCUCUGUUGCUAUCACAGGAAGGUGAACACAUGCCCAGCUAAAAGCCUAUAUUUCAGUGUCCCUUGCUGGAAGUGUGGCCAAGGAGAUAAGUGGGAUGACUGGAGCUCCAGCAGCCAUCUUGUGCCUAUGAGGUGAAUUCUAGAGAACAAAAUCCCACAGCCGAAGGUGGUAGAGGAGAAUGAUAUAAGGUACUUGGUUCCCUCUGACAAUGUGGAGCCCUCCUAUGCUCCCUGGUCAUCUCUCCUCAGACCAUGCCAUGUGAAAGAAAGCCAUCCCAUAAUGUGAUUAAGCCACGCUUACUCUGGGUCUCUGCUUAUAGCAGACAAAAGUCAUUUCUAGAUAAUUCAGGAGACUAGGCAAUUCAGACUAGCCUGCUUGCAAGACAAGCUUUCUUAGUCAAGCCUAGGUCUUCACAUAGAACUGUUAUUCAGGGAAUUAGACUGAGAAAAAAGGCAAAGAAGAAUCUAGAUGAAAGAGUAUAUUGUGGUGAAAGUUAAACAGUCAAAAAUAAACAGCAGUGUCGUUAACAAAA